rnacentral:lncRNA from 1 species
UGUGAUGCAGCAAUCCAUUGCAGUGGAGUAGUAAAAGCAAGCACUGAAGCUGUAACACAUAUAUAUGAAGCACCUUGCAGUUCCUCUUUGCCUAAAAUAUUGAAAAGGUACGAAUAAGACUUGGUUCGUUUGACAAAGGAAGGAAUGGAAGAUUUCAUAUCAAGCAAUGAUGUUUUUUUGUUCAUAGCGGCAAGGUUGGUUUGUCUAAUGUGGUGCAGCAAUCCAUUGCAGUGGAGUAGUAAAAGCAAGCACUGAAGCUGUAACACAUAUACAUGAAGCACCUUUCAGUUCCUCUCUGCCUAAAAUAUUGAAAAGGUACGAUUAAGACUUGGUUCGUUUGACGAAAGAAGGAAUAGAAGAUUUCAUACCAAGAAAUGAUGUUUUGUUCAUAGUUCAUAGCGGCAAGGUUGGUUGGUCUUGUGUCCUUUUUUUCUUUCAAGAUUUGCUGGUUUGCUCUUCUAAAAAACAGGUAGCUUGCAGCAUUUUAAGGUUGGUAUUUGCACCUUUUCUUUGGGCUAAUGAUUAGUCAGAUGACAUCCUGUCACCUGAUGUUUGGUAAUCCAAAAUUUUGGAGAAUUGUCUUGAAGCCGUUCAAGUCUUGAACUAGUUGAAAAUUUGGCACUCAUGGGGCUUGUACUGGCUGUUUGAACUGUUCUCUUUGAACAUCAUGGUUUUGCUUGUUAAUCGCUAUGUAUUUAUAAAUUUGCAUAUACUUUUUACGUGA